rnacentral:rRNA from 1 species
AGAGAGAGACAUGCGUGCAUAUCAAUAAGCGGAGGAAAAGAAACUAACAAGGAUUCCCCUAGUAACGGCGAGUGAAGCGGGAAGAGCUCAAAUUUGAAAUCUUAAAGGUUUCCCUUGACGAAUUGUAGUUUAAAGAAGUGUUUUCUGUUGAGGUUUUGGUAAAAGUUCUUUGGAAUAGGACAUCAUAGAGGGUGAGAAUCCCGUAUUUGACCAUUAUUUCCAGCUUUGUGAUACACUUUCAGAGAGUCAGAUUGUUUGGGAAUGCAGUCCAAAAUGGGUGGUAAAUUUCAUCUAAAGCUAAAUAUUGGCGAGAGACCGAUAGCGAACAAGUACCGUGAGGGAAAGAUGAAAAGAACUUUGAAAAGAGAGUUAAACAGUACGUGAAAUUGUCAAAAGGGAAGCGUUUGACACCAGUGUUGUUUUCUCGAAAAUCAAUUAAAAAAGGCAGGAUUUUGUGUUGUAUUGACUUUAUCAGCUUUCUGCACUCUUUUCUUGUCUUUUUUAAUGCACUUUUCGUUUAACAAGUCAACAUCAAUUUCUUUUGUUGUAAAAGGGUCAUUGGAAGGUGGCUUUCUUUUCGGAGAAAGUGUUUAUAGCCUUUGGCCUCUGCAAUCGGAGAGAUUGAGGUCUGCAGCGUAGAUCCUUCGGGGUUAGAUACAUUUGUGCUAAGUUAUAGCCUUUCAUAGACAACUUGUUGACUAUGAUCAGUCAUGUAGCUUACUCGCUUAUGCUAUUUUACCUACGCUUAGGAUGUUGAUGUGAUACUGCGAGCA